AAUGUCAAAAUCUCUAAAAUUAGUAGGAAUAAGAGAGCUGCGGUCUCUUAUACUGAGAGAGAAUAUCACAUCUGGCAAAAGCCUGAACUAUAGAAACAUGAACACAAAUUUAAAGUAUAGGUAAGGAACAUUAUAAACCUAUUAACAUUGAUAUGUACAACAAAGUUUCACAUUUGUCAACAAAAUACACAAUUACUCCAUAUAUCCUUCUUUCUUUCCAAUCAUUGUGGCCCCUCUAGCUGCCUAAUGAAACCAGCACAGAAAUCCAGGAAGAGGAACUGCGGACCACUAAUUCUUUGGAGAUCAAGCAGAUAUUUCUCAUCCUCAGUUUUGUACAGCUGCAUUUCAAACUUCACAGUAGGUAGUGGCUGUAAAUGUGUACUUAUGGCAGUUGCAUUACUAAUAAAAUGAUCAUCAUCAUUCAUAUGAUUGCUGGCCAUACUAUGAAGAUGAAGAUCAUGACACCAUAAACACUUCAUAUUAUAGUGCCCAAUUUUUUUCCAUCGAACAUUUAGUUCUAGCAGGGUCCCAAGAACCUGAUUCAUGAUCUCCUUUGGAUUUGCUGGAGACUGAAGUCCAACUAGCCACGUUUUCUCUUUGCGAAAUGGGCGUCUCAAACUCUCUUCAGAAACUCCGUUCCCACUAGACAGCUGUAGGUCAAGAUUUGGAAACAAUCCAGAGGAAUAACCAUCCACAGAUUCCUGAAACUCAGCUCCUAGAUACCCACUGGAAGCCAUGGAACGGUUAUCGUACAGCAGAUAGUAUGCAACAGUAGCAUCAUCUUGUAUUCUCUUUUGUAAAGAAUCAAGCAACUGGUCCCUAUCAAGCCCCAUCCUAGUUACUUGCUGGAGAAUUUCCUCAUCAAGCUUUUUAAGAUGUUGCCUAGCAUCAGGUGGAGGAACUGCCAAAUACCGAGGAAGAUGAAUUUUGAACCACUGGUGUUGACGAAUAUCAGCUACCGAUAUGCGCUUCAUAGGAUCAACAAUCAGCAUCCUUGGUAUCAAAUCCCUAGCUAAAGGUGACAGGUGACUUGGAAGGGUGUAGACUCCACUCUUUAUUUUCUUGAAAAGGUUGGGAAUGUUCUCAUCAUCGAAAGGAAGUGUACCACAAAGAAGAGCAUAUAAGAUUACGCCACAACUCCAAACAUCUACCUCAGGACCAGCAUAUAGUUUCCCAGAUACAACCUCAGGAGCUGCAUAAUUUGGACUUCCACAACUAGUCUUCAGAAAAUGGCCAUCUCGCAUAAUGUUUCCCAAGCCAAAAUCUGCUAUCUUUACAUUGCGUCUUGCAUCCAAAAGCAGAUUCUCAGGCUUAAGGUCCCGAUGAACCACCAUAUUCCUAUGGCAGUACUCCACACCAGCAAUAAUCUGCUGAAAAAAUUUCCGAGCUUCAUCUUCCUGUAACCUUCCUUUUUCUACAAUAUAAUCAAAGAGCUCCCCAGACUUGACAUACUCCAUUACAACAUAUAUAUCUGUUGGCGUCUCUAUCACUUCAUAGAGUCGUAUGACAUGUGGAUGCACAAAUAAUCUACAUAUUUUUAUUUCUCUCCUCAGUUUUUCUUCCAUGUCUGGAGUCUUCAUUUUCCGCCGAUUAAGGAUUUUGAUCGCCACUUUAUGCCCAGUGAGCAAAUGCUCAGCAAUUUUAACUUUACCAAAGGAUCCAUGUCCAAGAGUUUUUCCAACCCUGUAGUUCCUUAAAUAAGGAGAUUCAGCAAUUCCACCACCUCUGGAACUCAUUUGCUAAUAUAGAACACCUGUAGAAAGUUAUGAACUGAAUUUGUUAAGAGGCACACAUGAGCGGAUUAAUCUCGGGAAAGAGAAGGAGAAAAAGAAGGCGGAGAAUUUUAUAGAAAGUGAUU
rnacentral:misc_RNA from 1 species